AAAGGAAAAAUAGUGCAUAGAGAUAUUAAAUACAAAUUUGGCUAAGGGCACUUCCAACACAUUAUAUGUAUUUAGAUUUAGAAGCGUUCAGAAGCUAUUUCUCACCAAAUUUAGUUACACGUUAAUUUUUUCUCCCGUUGCAAUGCACGGGCAUAUGUGCUAUAUAUAUAGACAAUGGUUAGAAUUGUUAGUUGGUGUAAUUUCAUGUGCAAUUGUCCCUUUAUGUGUAAAGUGAAAUCUUCCAUGGUUUGUGAUAAUGAAUGUUUCAUUUCUUGAAAAAAUAGGAUAAAAUGAAAGUUUUCUUGGUUUCGUUGAACCCGAGAAGCAAAGAUAAAUUUGUGGCCGAAGGAACUUUAGUGAGUAGAGAUAAAACAUAUGUGGUUGGAGGAAACAUGCUUGGAGAGCAAUAUGUAGUAGUUUCUAUUUGUGCUGCUUCAAAACUUCGAGAUCAGAUACUGGUUAGACCAUAUGGACAAUUACAAACAGUAAGGGAUGCUAUUGGUCAUGUUAUUGCAUGGCCUCUAUCACAUGUAAGUACACUUUCAUGCAAUCAUCCUAUGUUCCAAUGUGCGUGCUUAAGGCUUUUUAUUUAUGAAGGAUUUUUGCGAUUUUUAGGUUAAAAAACCAAAAUUAACCACUCCUGCACAACCUCAAAACAAGCCACCAAACACUGGGUAGCUCAAGAUUUAGAAAAGGAGUGCAUUGCAGGAGCCAGGAGCAACUAUAGAAGAAUUAGUCUUUAGAUGGACAAGUAUUAUGUAUUAUAUAAAGAUUUUAGAUUUGUAGGAAAACUUAGUUCUAGUUUCUAUGAUCUCUUCUUAAUUAUUUGCAUAUUUUUUAUGAAGAUUUGAUUUGAUUCAGUUGUGAACCAAAAGUGUUUGUUCCUACUAAUUGAAAUUGUGCGAAUGGGAUUGUUGUGGAUACAAUUGGUGAUAUGGGUGGAUCCCUUCAUAUAAUGAUAUUUGUUGUUCAUGAA